rnacentral:lncRNA from 1 species
AUAAUGUCAAUUAAAAACAUUUCUGCCACGAAAAAAAAUGACAUAGAAACACGUCUACCUGAACUGGAUGUGUAAAUUUUUUAUCAGGACCUGAACUAUAAGUAAGAACAUCAUAAUAUUCAGUAUGUUAAAAUAAGUGUUAUAAAAGUGGGUAGGAAUUGUGCUUGAUAUUCGAGUGUUGAAAAUAUAAUCUUUCAAUCAGUUCACAGCCGAUUGCAUGUUAGGUAAUCCUUUAGUAGACAAGUCCGAUAAUAGCCAAUAUACAUGUCUGUCUGUCUAAACUAAUUCAAAAGGAGGAUAGUACACCCGGUACAUAAUAACGACUUUACGGUUCAGCUAAUAAGCACGCUAAAGAUUCUACCUUUCAUUACACACUCAAUGAAAUCGGCUGUAUGUCUAGGGUUGGCACGUAAGUAACUGCUAGUAGUCAAUUUAUGCAUUAUAGUCAUUUUGUUUAGUUUCUUUUGUUACCUAUUCUGAUUCGGACUGCUUUUUAACUGAGUUUUACUCUACAUAUUGCUGUGUGUUUGUGUUUACUACAUUAGAUAGAUGUAUCGGGGAGGGUUAAGAUCUAAAAAAACCAUGUUAAACCUCGAUGCAUGUUCGC